rnacentral:rRNA from 1 species
UACGAAGGGGGCUAGCGUUGCUCGGAAUCACUGGGCGUAAAGCGCACGUAGGCGGCUUUCUAAGUCAGGGGUGAAAUCCUGGAGCUCAACUCCAGAACUGCCUUUGAUGCUGGAGAGCUUGAGUCCGGAAGAGGUGAGUGGAACUCCGAGUGUAGAGGUGAAAUUCGUAGAUAUUCGGAAGAACACCAGUGGCGAAGGCGGCUCACUGGUCCGGUACUGACGCUGAGGUGCGAAAGCGUGGGGAGCAAACAGG